rnacentral:rRNA from 1 species
AUUCCAGCUCCAAUAGCGUAUACUAAAGUUGUUGCAGUUAAAAAGCUCGUAGUUGAAUUUCUGGUCUCGGACAGCGGUCUGCCUCAAACGAGGUACGCACCACCUGUUCAGGUCCAUCCUCGGAGAAAACAUGCCUGUGAUUCAGUUCAUGGGUAUGGGAUCUUCGUCAUUUACUGUGAGCAAAAUAUAGUGUUCAAAGCAGGCUUAUGCCGUUGAAUACAUUAGCAUGGAAUAAUAAAAUAAGACCUUGGUCUAUUUUGUUGGUUUGUACUCCAAGGUAAUGAUUAAUAGGGGUAGUUGGGGGUAUUCGUAUUCAAUUGUCAGAGGUGAAAUUCUUGGAUUUAUGGAAGACGAACUACUGCGAAAGCAUUUACCAAGGAUGUUUUCAUCA